rnacentral:rRNA from 1 species
AUUGAACGCUGGCGGCAUGCCUUACACGUGCAAGUCGAACGGCAGCGGGGGAGAAGCUUGCUUUUCCUGCCGGCGAGUGGCGGACGGGUGAGUAACGCGUGAGUAACCUGCCUUUCGGCGGGGGACAACAGCUGGAAACGGCUGCUAAUACCGCAUAAUGUAUAUUGAGGGCAUCCUCGCUAUACCAAAGAUUUAUCGUCGAAAGAUGGACUCGCGUCUGAUUAGCUAGUUGGUGAGGUAAUGGCUCACCAAGGCUGCGAUCAGUAGCCGGACUGAGAGGUUGAACGGCCACAUUGGGACUGAGAUACGGCCCAGACUCCUACGGGAGGCAGCAGUGGGGAAUAUUGGGCAAUGGGCGCAAGCCUGACCAAGCAACGCCGCGUGAAGGAAGAAGGCUUUCGGGUUGUAAACUUCUUUGACGAGGGAAGAAAGAAAUGACGGUACCUCGAAAACAAGCCACGGCUAACUACGUGCCAGCAGCCGCCGUAA